rnacentral:lncRNA from 1 species
AAUUAUGUUUGCAAUAUUUCAGAAGUUGGUAGAAAAAGAAAAGAAAAAUAGAAAAAGAAAAUAGAAAAGAAAAAAAUGAAUGAGAAAAAAUAGAAGGAUGUAUACAUGUCAAUACAUACUCCUUAUGAAAAAGAAAAAAAGAAGAAGAAAAAAGAGAAAGGAGAAAAAAAUAUGAACGAAAACAGUUAAUAUAAAGUUGUUGAAGUGAAUGAAAUAUUUUGUAAAUUCAACUCCCGUAGUUUCUUUCAAGUCUCUUUUGUCUCUUUGAAUUUUAGCCUAGUACCCCUUAGGAUUUAUCUCACCCU